CUCACACAGAAUGAAAAAGACAUGAUUUCCAGAUUUCUAAAGAAGUGAAAACACACACCACUGGAUCAUGAGACUAAAACAGGUUUAGAGGCUCAGGUUUCAUCUGCAUGUGGGGAUGUUCAUGUCUGUUUUCCUCCAGGAGGGUUUUUCCACAGAGAGUCACUUUGCAUCAGCACAUGCUUCAGCGCUCCGAGUGUUUAUAGCGUUCAGACUCAACACUUUAUAACACACUGCUGUUUACCACGGUACAAAACCAACAAACACAAUGAAUCUCUUCAGCAGCUUCAUCUGGAUUCUGGCAGCUUUUAUUCCAGCAGCAUCCAGAGGAAUCACUGUGACUCAGCCUGAAGCUGUGACUGUUUCUGAACGACAAGACGCCACUAUAGAGUGUAAAACUGAUCCUGGAAUAACUAGCUGGGGUUUAGCUUGGUAUCAGCAGAAACCUGGAGAAGCUCCUAAACUCAUCAUUACUGGAGUAAACGAUCUCUAUGAUGAUAGUUUCAGUCGAUUCAGUGGGAAUGGAACAGAAGAUGGGACUGAUUUCACUCUGACCAUCAGUGGAGUCCAGACUGAAGAUGCUGGACAUUAUUACUGUCAGAGUUUUCACUGCAGAACAGAUUCUGAUGAUUAUUGUGUGGGUGAUCUUGUGUUUACACAGUGA